rnacentral:rRNA from 1 species
UAUAGAGACUGCAAGCGUUAUUCGGAUUCACUGGGCGUAAAGGGUGCGCAGGCGGCCAAGUGUGUGAGGCGUGAAAGCCCGGGGCUUAACCCCGGAAUUGCACCUCAAACUACAUGGCUAGAGCAUUGGAGAGGGUAGCAGAAUUCACGGUGUAGCAGUGAAAUGCGUAGAUAUCGUGAGGAAUACCAGAGGCGAAGGCGGCUACCUGGACAAUUGCUGACGCUCAGGCACGAAAGCGUGGGGAGCAAAAGGG